rnacentral:rRNA from 1 species
UACGAAGGGGGCUAGCGUUGCUCGGAAUUACUGGGCGUAAAGCGCACGUAGGCGGCUUUCUAAGUCGGGGGUGAAAUCCUGGAGCUCAACUCCAGAACUGCCUUCGAUACUGGAGAGCUCGAGUCCGGGAGAGGUGAGUGGAACUGCGAGUGUAGAGGUGAAAUUCGUAGAUAUUCGGAAGAACACCAGUGGCGAAGGCGACUCGCUGGACAAGUAUUGACGCUGAGGUGCGAAAGCGUGGGGAGCAAACAGG